CGGGGUGAAAGAGGCCAACCACCGUCAGUCAGGACCAGCCUUCCGCCCAGCUCAGAGCCUCUACAAGCCAAAUCAUUGCGGUUCCCAAGCUGACAGCGCGGGUUCGAUUCCCAUCGCCCGAUCCA
rnacentral:tRNA from 1 species